rnacentral:lncRNA from 1 species
CGUGCUUAACAGGCUUGUAUGAGAUUGAGAACUCGGCAAGAUAGUGGCUGAUCAUUUCAGGCUUGAUUUCAACUGUAUUGAAGGUCUUGCCAUUGUAAACUCCUAUGACACUUCCUAUCAUCUCAGGGACAAUGAUCAUAUUUCGCAGGUGAGUUUUGACAAUCUCAGGCUUCUCACCUGGUGGGGCCUCACGUUUCUGAAUUAAAGAAUCAUAUGAAACAUUCAGGAAACAUGGUUUAUUAUUCAGUAAUGAAAAACAUUAAAAGUUGACACAAUAUCGACUACUAGAAACUUGACUGGCUAUAACGAGAAAAAAAAAAAGUGAUUCUGAAAAGUAUUGCACUCCACAGAGGCAGGUGUAAUCUAACUGUGCAGAAUGCUUAAGCUAAUGAAACUGAGUUGAAAACUUGCCAUUGUAAACUCCUAUGACACUUCCUAUCAUCUCAGGGACAAUGAUCAUAUUUCGCAGGUGAGUUUUGACAAUCUCAGGCUUCUCACCUGGUGGGGCCUCACGUUUCUGAAUUAAAGAAUCAUAUGAAACAUUCAGGAAACAUGGUUUAUUAUUCAGUAAUGAAAAACAUUAAAAGUUGACACAAUAUCGACUACUAGAAACUUGACUGGCUAUAACGAGAAAAAAAAAAAGUGAUUCUGAAAAGUAUUGCACUCCACAGAGGCAGGUGUAAUCUAACUGUGCAGAAUGCUUAAGCUAAUGAAACUGAGUUGAAAACAAUUACAUGAAUACCCAGGAUUCACACUCAGCUUAUAUAAGUUGGCACUUGUAUGGAUCUCAAAAUUAAAAAACAAACCACCCCUAUUGUUCAUCAACUAGCAAUCAUUCCUAAUGUGUUCUUUAUAUUUCUCCAUCACCAAGAUAUUAAAACAGUAAUGUUUUAUAAACCUGACUGUAGAUGUUUUAAGUAUGAAGAUCAUUUUUAAAAAAAUGGAAAUGCCAGGGAUAGAUGUUCCCCAAAUAGGAGUAUCUUCCUUGAAAUGUAUGGCAUGAAAAGCAAGUGAGAUGAAUAUGCUUCAAUCCUU